ACCAGGAGGUAUCAAAGCCUGCAGUUUCCUUAGAACAGAGGAAACAAGAUCCAAAACUCAGGUCUACUCUGCAGGAAGAGCAGAAGAAGCAGGAUGUCUCUAAACCUAAGCCAGCUCCUAGCCAGUGGAAGCAAGAAACUCCUAAAUCCAAAACGGGAUAUACUCAAGAAGAACAGAAGAAGCAGGAGACACCAAAACCUUGGCCAGUUCAGCUGCAGAAAGAACAGGAUCCAAAGAAGCCAUCUCCAAAGUCUUGGACACCUUCUGUGCAGAAUGAACAGGACAUCACCAAGUCAUGGACCACUCCCAUGUGUGAAGACCAGGAUUCAAGACAGCCAGAGACUCCAAAAUCCUGGGAAAAUAAUGUUGAGAGUCAAAAACGCCCUUUAACACCACAAUCACAGAUUUCUCCAAAGUCCUGGGGGGUAGCUCCAGCAAGCCUCAUACCAAAUGACCAGCUCCUGCCCAGGAAGUUUAAUACUGAACCCAAAGAUGUGAGUUUGUUUUUAUCAGUCUGCUCUGGUCAAUGUAGGCAUAAAUAAGGACUGGUGGUAGUCAUAACUUUUUAGUCC
rnacentral:lncRNA from 1 species